rnacentral:rRNA from 1 species
CGCAUCUGUGCAUGCAGCAUAUCAAUAAGCGGAGGAAAAGAAACUAACAAGGAUUCCCCUAGUAACGGCGAGUGAAGCGGGAAGAGCUCAAAUUUGAAAUCUUAAAGGGUUUCCCUUUACGAAUUGUAGUUUAAAGAAGUGUUUUCUGUUGAGGUUUUGGUAAAAGUUCUUUGGAAUAGGACAUCAUAGAGGGUGAGAAUCCCGUAUUUGACCUUUACUUUCAACUUUGUGAUACACUUUCAAAGAGUCGGAUUGUUUGGGAAUGCAGUCCAAAAUGGGUGGUAAAUUUCAUCUAAAGCUAAAUAUUGGCGAGAGACCGAUAGCGAACAAGUACCGUGAGGGAAAGAUGAAAAGAACUUCGAAAAGAGAGUUAAACAGUACGUGAAAUUGUCAAAAGGGAAGCGUUUGACACCAGUGUUGUUUUUCUGAAAAUCAAUUAAAGAACUGUUUAUGCUAAGCUGUUUAGACUUUAUCAGCUAACUGUUUAGUUUUGAGCUUUUCUUUAAUGCACUUUUCAGUUAACAAGUCAACAUCAAUUUCUUUUGCUGUAAAAAGCUUGAGGAAGGUGGCUUGAGAUUCGUCUUAAGUGUUUACAGCCUCUUGCCUAUGCAGUCGGAGAGAUUGAGGUCUGCAGCGUAGAUCCUCCGGGGCUAAAUGCAUUUGUGCUAAGUUAUAGCAUUUUAUAGACAACUUGUUGACUAUGAUUUGUCUUGUAGCUUACUCGCUUAUGUUAUUUUACCUACGCUUAGGAUGUUGAGUCAUCACACAUCUCU